AUAUAGGGCCGUCAGAGACGAUGACGUCGAUAGGCCGCAGGUGUAAAGCCAGUGAUGGCAUAGCCGAGCGGUACUAAUUGCCCGAAAGCUUGCCUAC
rnacentral:rRNA from 1 species